CCAAGUCUCCCCCAGUCUCUCUCCCAAGUUUUCCCCAGUCUCUCUCCCAAGUCUCCCCCAGUCUCUCUCCCAAGUCUCCCCCAGUCUCUCUCCCAAGUCUCCCCCAGUCCUACCCCAGUUUUCCACAUAUCCCACCAUGUUCUAGCAAACACCCUCCAGACCUCUCAGCUUGCUUCCUAGCACAAACAUUGAACCUUUCUUUGGCCCAAUAUCUUUCCUGCUAACCCCCACCCCACCCCCCUGUAGCCUAUUCUGUUAACUCACUAACUCACUAGCUAACCCUACCCUACAGUAGCACCUUCUCUGUCUGUUAUACCUGCCCUGAGAGCCCCAAAGAAUCUCAGAAUUUAUAACAGAUAACUCGCUGACAUUUUUCUAUUAAUUUUCUUUCCUGUUUUUGAGAUGGUUACUACAGAUUUUGGAUACAGGGGUGCUGAUGUUACUGCCCUGCCAUAUUGUGCUCAGCGUGUAUCACACACGAUGCGACAGGAUCCUCCAAGACACUAUUCAAUUCUUAUAUCCUAUAAAUAAAACAAUCACAUGUAUAUUUUACAGCAAUCAAUUUAUCAUUAUGACGAUAGCAGAGGAACAUAGUAAAAGUGAUGGCAUGACUUCGUACAGAUGGCAGUAGUGCUUGCAGUGUGGUGGUUUGAAUAGUUUUGUAAAUCUUCGAGAGAAUGCGGCCAUUAGAGUAGAGCAAGCUUCAAGAUGUGAUAAAUGAAUGAUUGUGAGAAAAGGGGGUAAGAUAAAAUUUUCCACACAGCAUGUGUAAAAAAGGUUGUAAGUUCAGGAGACACUGAAAUCGAAAACUCUGUCUGUCCAGAGUGUAUAUAGAAAACAGUUUGUCAUUCUGCUCAUAAUCAUGACUGAGCUAGAUCAGGUAUUUUCUGAAAACACAGAGGUUGCAAAAUAAUUGUAACUUUCCCAAUAAUCUCAGGUUUUCUAGAAAUACUGAGCGGAGGAUUCACAAAUUUCUUCUGAUCCCAGGAAUCUUCCUACCAGGAUUUCCAGAAAUGCUGGGAAUUUAGGGAGUUACUGGGAGAUUUCACGCCAGGAUAGACCAAAAAUAUUUUGGGCUUCUCAGAUUGUUCUUGCAAUUCUCAAAUAAAAACUUAAUUGGAGGGAGGAUGUUUGACAUGCUUUUAUAAUUUGAAUAACUUUUUAGACCUUCAUGCCUCCUGUAAGACCCUAUGACCUGUGACCUGUGACCUGUGAAACGCACUCGAUGCAGACAACACCUUGGUGUCAUCAUACUCCUCAUAGUGUGCUGUAGCAUAUAGAGGUUGUCUAGAUUCUGAAAUACAAUUUGUCACAUUCAUUUAUUCAACAUUAAACAUAUGAAUAUCCUUUUAGAUUUUGUUUAUUUUAAGACAUAUUGUUUGGAACAAUAUACUCUACAAGUACAUCACAUUUCCAGAGUGGGCUCUCUGCAAAUGUUUAAGUUCUGCUAUAUUUUAUGAGCAUCAACAACACAGUGAAUGGGAAAAUGUAUUCUGGUGAUUUGCUGAAUGUGCAAUCCUAAAGAAGGGCUGUGAUUGGUUAAUGACCUAUGAUGUCAAAUUCUAUAUAUAAAAUGGGUCAUAUCUUCAAAAGUACCAGAGAGCCACUCUGGAAAUGUCACGUGUUUGAAAAGUAUAUUGUUCCAAACUAUAUGGCAAAAAAUAAUUUAAAUAAAAAUAUAUGAACUUUUGAGAUAUGAACAUGUAUAUUUUUAUGUUUUAGAGCACACAAGGAGUAUAAUGACACAAAGACCAUGUAAGGUUCACAGAUUACAGGCAGGUAUAUUUUUAUGUUUUAGACACAAGGAGUAUAACGACACAAAGACCAUGUAAGGUUCACAGAUUACAGGCAGGUAUAUUUUUAUGUUUUAGACACAAGGAGUAUAACGACACAAAGACCAUGUAAGGUUCACAGAUUACAGGCAGGUAUAUUUUUAUGUUUUAGACACAAGGAGUAUAAUGACACAAAGACCAUGUAAGGUUCACAGAUUACAGGCAGGUAUAUUUUUAUGUUUUAGACACAAGGAGUAUAAUGACACAAAGACCAUGUAAGGUUCACAGAUUACAGGCAGGUAUAUUUUUAUGUUUUAGACACAAGGAGUAUAAUGACACAAAGACCAUGUAAGGUUCACAGAUUACAGGCAGGUAUAUUUUUAUGUUUUAGACACAAGGAGUAUAAUGACACAAAGACCAUGUAAGGUUCACAGAUUACAGGCAGGUAUAUUUUUUUUAAUGGCCUAAAAAUAAAUGGUGAUACAAAUGUGAAAAGCUUGUGAAGCAUCCAUUUUCCCAAUGAUGUUUCUAUGUGAGAAAUGAUGUUUCUAUGUGAGAAAUGAUGUUUCUAUGUGAGAAUUGAUGUUUCUAUGUGAGAAUUGGCAGAAGAAUCUGAGAUAACAAAAAUCUUGGCAUGGAAUCGCCCUACUAGAAUUUUGCAAGCCUACACAGGAACGUUAUGGAAUAUUCAAAAGACACCUGACGCUGGUCUUUUCAUGGUCUUUACCAUGGUCUUUUCAUGGUCUUUACCAUGGUCUUUUCAUGGUCUUUACCAUGGUCUUUACCAUGGUCUUUACCAUGGUCUUUUCAUGGUCUUUACCAUGGUCUUUUCAUGGUCUUUACCAUGGCCUUUUCAUGCGUCUUAUUUUGUGUAGAUUAAAGGGGACAUUUGUUAAUCAUUGUGGAAAAAAAUAGGUUGUUGAUAUGAAAAAUAUAUAAAAAAAGAAGACAUGGAUGAAUUGAAAGAAGAUGUUUAUGGAUGGAUUGAUGCUGCCACUGACUGUGGUACAGCGCAGCCUGCAUUGGGACAAUAAGCCUACUGCUCAAAACCAGAAACAGAGAGAGAAGGAAACUACAUCUUAGAAAAGCAAGAAGGAAAAGGACUUCGAGGACGCAACAACAGCCAGAGAGAGAGACUCACACUAUGGACUAAACUACCCGUCGGGUGGUAAAAUCUCUGGUUCUCACUAUCACUUAGAAAUAUGUCUCUUUUUAGUACGGUUCCCUAGUUACCAGGUAUUUACUUAUGUAUUCAAAUCUAACAUAAUUUAACAAAAUAAUGGUGGUAAAAUGGCUGUAGUGAAAAAAUGUUCCAUUUUAAAAAGGAAAAGGUUUUAUUUGUUAUAAUUUGCUUCAAUUAUACUUUAUGGUAUGAUAUGAUACACCAAGAAUCGUACAUGCAGACAGAGCACAUUAACUCACUUUUCCUUUAAUCAGAAAAACAUUCAUUUUUUUUACUUCUGCAGUUAUGUUUUUAACCAAUACAACUAUAAGUAGUUCUGUUUUUAUUGUUUUGCAAAAAAUAAAUAAAUAAAAUAUACUAGAAAUGUAUAUUAAAA